rnacentral:lncRNA from 1 species
UUAACUUGUUGCUACAGAGCUUAACUUUUUUAAGGCUUAAUCUUAUAUGUUCAGAAGAUUCUAGCCAGUUAAAUUAGUUCUGGUCAAACAGUUGGACAUUGGCUUGUAAAUAACCACAUCAUAAAAAAUAUAAUAUUACUCCUGCCAACCAAUUCUCUUCCUGAUUACAUUCUUUGGGUCUGUUUUCCUAAUGCCAACAAUUAGAUUCUUGGACCAAGUGAAGGCAUACUCUGAUCCACAAAGCUCUUUUUAUAAACCAGUUUUGAUGUGUGUGUAAAUGUGCAUAUCUGUGUACAUCAGCUAUGUGGACAUUUUGAGGGUAAUUUUAAUUUAGUUCUGUUCUCUUGUUGGUGCCAAUGUUAUACUGAGGACUCUCCCUACGAUGAAGGCAAUGUUUCUUUGAAAAUCUCCCCUUAUCUCCCAGGACUUUACUCUUUGGUGAUCUGUCUAUUUUCUUACUUUCUCUAAGUGCUUUAUCCUUCUUUUCUGAGAUGCCUUCUGAGGGACGCUGACCUCCCACUAGGGAGAGGGGAGUUACUGGGAGGACCCUCAGGGGUAGCCACACUGCCAGAAGCAACCUAUUUUACUGAGAAUGGUCUGAAUGGCAGAGAGUGAAUCCUGAGUAUGGAUUGGUAGAGGGAGGAUGUUGAUUCUUUCUGUCAUUCUUUCUGGCUUUCCUUUCAACACCCCUUGUUUCAGGGGCCUCUCCCCUUAGCAUCCUUUAAAAGUUUUUCUGAUGAAUGUGUAAGAAUUGAUUAUGUCAACGGUAUUAGUUAAGUCAUAGCAAUGAAGUACUGAGAAGGUUAUGGAUACUAGUAAGAAACAAGUAGGUUAAGAUAAAGCAUGAGUACCAAAGAGAAUUUAACUGCCAUUUUUUUUUGAACCAAAAUCCUAAGUAACUCUAAAUGCCUUAGAUAUCAGUUAAAGUUGUACUGAGAUGGACAAAGCUCUUUCUCUGCAAAGGGAGUAAUCAAGUUAAUGCCUGUUCUCUUUCAAUAAACAGUUAUUUAUUGAGCAUUGUGGAUGCCAUGUUUUCAGAUUUCCAGGUAAAUUCAUGACCUUACUUGUUUGGCUGCACAGGUGAAUCGGGUGGAAAGGCCUUGGUCAACCAGCAUUUAAUGAGCAGUAGCUUAAUGCAGAGCACUCGAGAGGCAGCAUAGCAACAGAAAGGGAGUAUGGGUGAGUUGUUGGGUGCCCUUCUAGAUCAGGGAUGGGGAAUGUAGAACGUCUGUGCCACCAUUCUUUCAAGGUGGCGUUAUGAGUGAGGGGCACUCCUUUCCUCUGUGCCAGGAAUUAGUCUCAGAAUCUAUGUCAUCAAUACUUCCAGGCAUCCAUUACAGUCCGUCAGAGUGAGAUGAAGCCUAUUUGUCAUCCCUCCCUUAGACAGAGGGGUGAAUGAAUUAGGUGAGUAGAUACCACCCAAUAUGGCUUUGAAAGCAGUGAGCUGAUUCAGCCCAGUUCCCAGUUCUUAGUAGUACUUACUGUCUACCAUGUGCAAGACAAUGCUAAGAACUGGGGAUACAGACAUAAAGAAGCCACCAUCCCUGACCUUGAAGAGCUUACAGCCUUGUGAAAAUGUUUGCAGUAAUCAUGACUUGAGUGUCCUCAAAGACACCCACUUUUGUCAGGCACACUGGGGCUCCCCGGCCUGGCCACCUGUUAAGUCCUGGCACAAACUAUCCAUUGCUUCAUCAUUUACUAACAAACAUCAUGAACCAGCUUAUCUCUAAAUUUGAACAUCACAUCCUAUGUUUUCGUUUUGUUGUGGUAUGCUUUUUUUCUCACUACUUUUCGUAGUCUUCUCUGUACUUCAUUUUUUGAAAAAAAAAUUGUAUGUGGCCUGCUUGACUUAAAAAUACUUACUAGCCACCACAGCCUAUGUAGCUGAGGGCUCAGCAGCUUGAUCCUGUGAAAAGGAGGCACAAAGCCAGGGAAGUAAGUACUGGGAGAGAGGCAAGCUGUUUGCAUGUGUGUUUAUACCUAUGCCUUUAAGAUACUUUUAUAAAAAGUAUUAAUAAAGAAAUGGUCGUUAGGAUACUAGUCCUGACUGAAAGUCAGUUGAUUUUGCCUUUGUGAUUUUGCCUAUCAAAGGGUAGUUUUCCAUCCUUAUGGUUCAUUCACAUAAUAGUAUUUGUUUUUCAUUUUCUUGUGUUAACUUAGGAACACGAUAUAAAAUACACACCAAAUGGCACAUACUGACUUCUGCACUUGACAUAACCAUUUUUAUCCAUUCCUACAGGAGAUGGGUUAAAUGUAAAAGAUGGCCAAUUUUGAGGAGCAAAAGGGUGCUGAAAUGACUGGUAAGGUCGGCUGCUGCUUUCUCAAUUGGAUGCCAUGGUUUAUUACUAGUGAAGAAAAGGAAAAUGUAAUUUGCAUUAUUAUGUCAUUUUUCUAAAAAAAAGUCUUAAUAGGGGCUCUUUAGAUGUCUACAAUGUUUUCCUAUGUAGUGGUCAUUUUAGGAAAAAUGAUAAUCUGUAGAAUGAAUAGUUAUGUUUGUUAUGACUGAUACUUUCUUUGUUGAAAAGUUUGUAUUGAGUCUUCAAUUUCAAGUGUGG